CCUACGGGAGGCAGCAGUGGGGAAUAUUGCACAAUGGGGGAAACCCUGAUGCAGCAACGCCGCGUGAGUGAAGAAGUAUUUCGGUAUGUAAAGCUCUAUCAGCAGGGAAGAAGAAAGACUUUACCUUACUAAGAAGCCCCGGCUAACUACGUGCCAGCAGCCCCGGUAAUAUGUAGGGGGCAAGCGUUAUCCGGAUUUACUGGGUGUAAAGGUAUCGUAGACGGGUGUGCAAGUCUGAAGUGAAAGCCCGUGGCUGAACCGCGGAACUGCUGUGGAAACUGUAUAGCUUGAUUACUGGAGGAGCAGGCGGGAUGCCUAGUGUAGCGGUGAAAUGCGUAGAUAUUAGGCAGAAAACCAGAGGCGAAGGCGGCCUGCUGGAGAGAAACUGACGUUGAGGCUCGAAAGCGUGGGGAGCCAACAGGAUUAGAUACCCCAGUAGUC
rnacentral:rRNA from 1 species